UAGUGAGUUUGAUCCUGGCUCAGGAUGAACGCUGGCGGUCUGCUUAACACAUGCAAGUCGAACGGGUGUAGAAAUACAUUAGUGGCGGACGGGUGAGUAACGCGUGAGAAUCUACCUUCAGGACGGAGACAACAGUGGGAAACGACUGCUAACCCCCGAUGUACCGAAAGGGAAAUAUUUAUAGCCUGAAGAUGAGCUCGCGUCCGAUUAGCUAGUUGGAGAGGUAAGGCUCACCAAGGCAUCGAUCAGUAGCUGGUCUGAGAGGACGAUCAGCCACACUGGGACUGAGACACGGUCCAGACUCCGUACGGGGAGGCAGCAGUGGGGAAUUUUCCACAAUGCCCUAACGGGGUGAUGGAGC
rnacentral:rRNA from 1 species